rnacentral:rRNA from 2 species
AUUUUUUGGGGCUUAAUGGGUCCUAAGCGGGCCCCCCAAUUCAGAGGAGAAAUCCACUCCCCUAACGGGUGGCCUUCGGGAGGAAAUUCCAGGGCUUGGGCCCGGAGGACUGGAGGGGUACUUGGGGGGUAGGAGUGAAUUCUUGUAUUCCGGAACGGCCCCCCGAUAGGAAAACCACUUCAAGGGAUGGAUCCGACAGGGAGGGAGGAAAGUUAGGGUCUCGAACCGAUUUGGUUCCCCGGUAUUCUACUGGCACGAGUUCCCUUUUUUUACAGCGUGCUCAGGCGCCAGGAAUUGAACGGGGGAGCACAUGGCGGCAUCUAGUAUCGUGUGCAGU